UACGAAGGUGGCAAGCGUUGCUCGGAAUUACUGGGCAUAAAGGGCGCGUAGGUGGCGCGGCCAGUCGGUGGUGAAAGCCUGUGGCUCACCCAUAGAAUGGCCAUCGAUACUGCCGUGCUUGAGGGCAGGAGGGGAGAGUGGAACUCCUGGUGUAGCGGUGAAAUGCGUAGAUAUCAGGAGGAACGCCGGUGGCGAAAGCGACUCUCUGGACUGCACCUGACACUGAGGCGCGAGAGCUAGGGGAGCAAACAGG
rnacentral:misc_RNA from 1 species